rnacentral:misc_RNA from 1 species
CCCACCCCUCACCGUCCUUAACCUCCAAGCCUCCAAUAUGGUCCUGAAGCAGUACUGUCAAAACCCCAGGAUCAGUAUGCGAUGUAAUUCCAAAGGUGAGAUCAGGUUGAGGGCAGUGUGGAUAGUAAUGGCCCACAAGUGUCUUGGCUUCCAAAAAAGUCAUCUCCUUCAAUCUUCUUGGCUUCAAUCCCAGCCCUUCGCACAGCAACUCCAUCAACAUCUCUGCAACUCGUGUAGCCUGUUGGUUCCACUCAAGUAACUCGUUCCUACAAAUUUCAGGGAUGCCCUCAACCUCUGCUGGGACAGGACCCAAUCUCACCUGAAGUGUAUCCCUCCAGCUCGCAGCUUUAGCGUUAUACAAGUCAACGUUGGAAAUGAAAGAUACUCCAGUACCCAUCUCCCUCCGGUACCACUGCUUCUUGAACUCCGUCGGCAGCUCAUGAAACGCCUUGACCGCCUCAAUCGUCCGGUUCAUAACUUCCAGCGGCACCCCAUGAUUCACGAUCUGAAAAAAUCCAAGUUUCCGACAGGCAUGUGAAACCUGCUCCACAAUCGCCCGCCUCCUGUCUGAAUCAACGCCUGAAAGGUCAAUGGUGGGGAUGACUUGGGAUUCGGAUUUUGGAACGGAUUUAAGAUCGGAUAGCGCUCCGGUUGGGUGGAUAAACAUGCGGGGAAUGGAGGUGAGGCCAGAGUCAACCAGGCCUUUAACUCCGAUUUUAGAAUCAUCGAAUCGUUUCACCUCUUCCAAAUGAUUAUACUCCUGAUGGGUUGCCUCA